CCUACGGGAGGCAGCAGUGGGGAAUAUUGCACAAUGGGGGAAACCCUGAUGCAGCGACGCCGCGUGAGUGAAGAAGUAUUUCGGUAUGUAAAGCUCUAUUAGCAGGGAAGAAAUAGCGACCUUUGGGUCGCCAGACGGUACCUGAUUAAGAAGCCCCGGCUAACUACGUGCCAGCAGCCGCGGUAAUACGUAGGGGGCAAGCGUUAUCCGGAUUUACUGGGUGUAAAGGGAGCGUAGACGGCAGCUCAAGUCUGAAGUGAAAUGCCGGGGCUUAACCCCGGAACUGCUUUGGAAACUGUGCAGCUAGAGUGCAGGAGAGGUAAGUGGAAUUCCUGGUGUAGCGGUGAAAUGCAUAGAUAUUAGGAAGAACACCGGUGGCGAAGGCGGCUUACUGGACUGUAACUGACGUUGAGGCUCGAAAGCGUGGGGAGCAAACAGGAUUAGAUACCCCAGUAGUC
rnacentral:rRNA from 1 species